GGCUUCACGGUUUCCGUUUUCCAAAGAGGAACGCAGAUUCAGCGAGCGGCUGCUGGCUUUUGACCUAUUUUGAUGUCAGGGCUUGGCACGUAGGAAUUGUUCAAUGCUGGUCGAUCCAAGGUCAUGCACAUAGGGUCUCAGACGCAGGAGAACUUCCUGUCCCUCUUGGAGCUUCUAUUUUAGAGGGAGACACGGCCAGGCAGGUCUCGAACUCCUGGCCUCAAGUGAUCCGCACACCUUGACCUCCCAAAAUGCUGGGAUUCCUGGCGUGAGCCACCGCGCCUGGCUUGUCCUAGGGAGAAUGAGCCUGAUGACUUUACUAUUUUCUACCUCUAAGAGCCAAGUCAGUCACAAACGAGGCUGGCUGGCAUCUUGUGUCUGUCUAGCAUCUCUGCCAGUUUCUGUAGAAAACCCUCGAGCUGUGCCAAACAGUCAUGUCUGUGGACACCGCUCGUGGUGUCAGGGGGUGUCUUCGCCUAAUGCCUAUCACCCUUUGCAGCCACUGGAAGAAUGAUGCAGGAGCCAGGGCCCCAUAUUAUCUACCACUGUCCAUCUGCUCUCCAGCACAUCAGAGCAGCCCUUCCUCUCCAGGGCAAGACUGAAAAGAGCAUCAAGGUUGAAGUGGAAGAAAUACAUUGGAAGUGGAGCAGG